GAUUCUUAAUUAGUACACUCACGUUCUCUGUGGAAAAUCGAUACUCUAGGAUACUCCCGGGUGAAGGCUACAUCGGUAUCCGUGCGCUUGCGGAUUUUUCUGUUUGCGUUUAAAAUACCCAACAAGCUUUCUGGCGCCGUUGCCGGGGAACGGUAGCUGUGCUAGUUUCGAACCAAGUCGUCCAUGUAUCCUUUUUCUUUUCUUUUUUUUACCACACUCACCUUACCACUUUCACCAUACCACAUGGAUUUCACUCUAAGCAUUAAUGAGCAUGGAAUUUAAUUCAUAGCCACUUCAUUUACUCCAUGAUCAUAUGCAACAUCUUCACAAUCCAUUGGUCUCUCCAACAUCACCACAUUCGAGAUCUCCAACCCCCUCAUCCUUUCUAUUUAUAAAACCUUUAAAAGGGCGGUUGUCGAUGCAUAUGUCUAUAAUAAAUUUUGCAGAUCUCGUUGAGUUGAUCUUGAUAUAGGUC
rnacentral:lncRNA from 1 species